rnacentral:lncRNA from 1 species
AAAAAUCCCCAUUCAAAAAUUCCCAUUAUUUCACAAGUUGGACCAUUUUGCCCCUGGAUCUUUAACUGUACACUUGAAAUUUGACUUUUUGCAUUGACCAUUUUUGAUGAAUUCCAAUUAUGCACCAUGAAAGUACAUGUCAAAUGGAGUUUGUGCAUAAAAAGAUCACUCAAUUUGGACACUCCAUGUGGAAGUUAUGCCCCUCUGAUUAUGGGUCAUUUUUGAAAUUG